rnacentral:rRNA from 1 species
AGGGGGGAAGCUUUGCUCCCGGAUGUUAGCGGCGGACGGGUGAGUAACUCGUGGGUAACCUGCCUGUAAGACUGGGAUAACUCCGGGAAACCGGAGCUAAUACCGGAUAGUUCCUUGAACCGCAUGGUUCAAGGAUGAAAGACGGUUUCGGCUGUCACUUACAGAUGGACCCGCGGCGCAUUAGCUAGUUGGUGAGGUAACGGCUCACCAAGGCGACGAUGCGUAGCCGACCUGAGAGGGUGAUCGGCCACACUGGGACUGAGACACGGCCCAGACUCCUACGGGAGGCAGCAGUAGGGAAUCUUCCGCAAUGGACGAAAGUCUGACGGAGCAACGCCGCGUGAGUGAUGAAGGUUUUCGGAUCGUAAAGCUCUGUUGUUAGGGAAGAACAAGUGCAAGAGUAACUGCUUGCACCUUGACGGUACCUAACCAGAAAGCCACGGCUAACUACGUGCCAGCAGCCGCGGUAAUACGUAGGUGGCAAGCGUUGUCCGGAAUUAUUGGGCGUAAAGGGCUCGCAGGCGGUUUCUUAAGUCUGAUGUGAAAGCCCCCGGCUCAACCGGGGAGGGUCAUUGGAAACUGGGAAACUUGAGUGCAGAAGAGGAGAGUGGAAUUCCACGUGUAGCGGUGAAAUGCGUAGAGAUGUGGAGGAACACCAGUGGCGAAGGCGACUCUCUGGUCUGUAACUGACGCUGAGGAGCGAAAGCGUGGGGAGCGAACAGGAUUAGAUACCCUGGGUAGUCC